CAAUAGCGUAUAUUUAAGUUGUUGCAGUUAAAAAGCUCGUAGUCGGAUUUUGGCUGAGAACGAUCGGUCCGCCGUUAGGUGUGCACUGAUUGGUCUCAGCUUCCUGGUGAGGAGGUGUGCUUCACGGCCACUUAGUCACCGUGGUUACUUUGAAAAAAUUAGAGUGUUCAAAGCGGGCUUACGCUUGAAUAUUUCAGCAUGGAAUAACACUAUAGGACUCCUGUCCUAUUUCGUUGGUCUCGGGACGGGAGUAAUGAUUAAGAGGAACAGUUGGGGGCAUUCGUAUUUCAUUGUCAGAGGUGAAAUUCUUGGAUUUAUGAAAGACGAACUUCUGCGAAAGCAUUUGCCAAGGAUGUUUUCAUUAA
rnacentral:rRNA from 1 species